rnacentral:lncRNA from 1 species
UUGAGCCUAGUUAGUCCAUAAUUGGACAAUAUUUGUCAAAUACAAACGAAAGUGUUACUAUUCCUAUUUUGCAAAAAAUUUUGGAAGUAAACAAGGCCAUGAUAUCUAACACACUACUUAGGACGUGCCUCAUAGUAGUUCCUACAAAGGGAAAAGUGCAAGAUGAUCGAAAGUAUGUGAAGAGCGAGUAGAUGUGAGCUUGGGGAGAUGAUCAAAUAAGAGAGAGAUUGGAUAGUAUCACUAAGCCGGGAACUAGGGUAGGUUAAGCUAGGAUUAGGUGUAUUAGUGUACGUAGGGGGUGCUUAACUAUUCAUUUCCUUAACAGACAGUCCUUGAAGUGGCUACGAAUGGUUCAUCGAGGCAGAGUCGAAGUGCAAGGCCUCGAGGUGUGAUAGAUAGUUCGUCCAUGUAGGACUGGGGGUGUUGGGUUUUUUACAUCCCUGAAAACAUUGACGGACAGUUCGUAGAGGUGUGAGUGUGACGAACAACGCCAGGUCAAGCUGAAAUGUUAUAACUGGCUAAGAGCAGACCAUUCCAAGGGCGGAUACACUAUUACAGCAGGUCUAUCACAGCCGGUUCAAAACCCCUCAUCACAGUCGGUUUUCAGCCUCGGUAGUAAAUGAUCAAUAGUGAUAGUGCACGGAGUCGAGUGCAUAUAUGUUGCAGACAGAGUGGAAGCACAUGCCCUUCAAGAAAAAGAAAAAAAAACCCUGAAUAAACUCCAAUGAGUAGUUUAGCAUUUUUCAUUUAUGCUCGACCUGGAUGAUAUAACAUAGACUAGAAAAUAUUAAAAGCCGAUUCACAAAAUGUCCAGCGAGGAUGGGCCAAGUGGUCGUCGGCAGCAGCAGCUGACAUCUCGAAACAGAAUCCAGCGAGGAAAAAGUGGAUCACACAUGAUGGCAACUAAAAUUUAGUUUAUACUGUCGUUUUGAUACAUGAACUAGUAGGACUACUUUUUUCCUCAAAUACAAGAUAUUGAAUGUUUAAAAUUUAUUCUAAAGUAUAAGGGCAC